AUUGAACGCUGGCGGCAGGCCUAACACAUGCAAGUCGAGCGGUAGAAAGUAGCUUGCUACUUUUGAGAGCGGCGGACGGGUGAGUAACGCGUGGGAAUCUACCUGGUAGUGGGGGACAACUUGGGGAAACUCAAGCUAAUACCGCAUACGCCCUACGGGGGAAAGGAGGGGCUCUUAUGACCUUUCGCUAUCAGAUGAGCCUGCGUAGGAUUAGCUAGUUGGUAGGGUAAAGGCCUACCAAGGCGACGAUCCUUAGCUGGUCUGAGAGGAUGAUCAGCCACACUGGGACUGAGACACGGCCCAGACUCCUACGGGAGGCAGCAGUGGGGAAUAUUGGACAAUGGGGGCAACCCUGAUCCAGCCAUGCCGCGUGUGUGAAGAAGGCCUUCGGGUU
rnacentral:rRNA from 1 species